GGGCCCAACUCCAUCUCCAUCCUGCAUUUAAAGUGAUUGUUUCUCCCUUGAUGCAACUGAACCACUGUAUCCAGUCGAGAACAGUCAAUAUUAAAGAGAGCACAGCACUUUACAAUAGUGGAAGAUCCCUCGACUUAAUAUUAUUGAGAAAAUUUUAAUUUAGGUCUCUUCCUUAAUUAGUCAUAAUGGUUAUGACUGACCUAGUGGCAUAGGC
rnacentral:lncRNA from 1 species